UUUCUUUUUUUUUAAAAAAAAAAUUAAAGUUUGAGAUUUUUAUUGGAUAUUUUUACUGUUAAAAUUAAUGACAUAAUAGACGGCAUGGUACAAUUGUAAAUAAGUUUAAGUUUAGGGUAUUUUUAUUAAAAAAAAGGUUUGCGUUAGAAUUAUAAAAACCUAAAAGUUUAUUUAUUUUUGGAUAUUAUCUCUUAGAAUAAGCUUAUU
rnacentral:misc_RNA from 1 species